rnacentral:rRNA from 1 species
GGAAUGCCUAGUAAGCGCGAGUCAUCAGCUCGCGUUGAU